GCCUAUAGUUUAAUCGGUCAGAACAAACCGCUCAUAACGGUUGUGUUGUAGGUUCAAGUCCUGCUAGGC
rnacentral:tRNA from 1 species